rnacentral:rRNA from 1 species
UACGUAGGGCGCAAGCGUUAUCCGGAAUUAUUGGGCGUAAAGAGCUCGUAGGCGGUUUGUCGCGUCUGCCGUGAAAGUCCGGGGCUCAACUCCGGAUCUGCGGUGGGUACGGGCAGACUAGAGUGAUGUAGGGGAGGACUGGAAUUCCUGGUGUAGCGGUGAAAUGCGCAGAUAUCAGGAGGAACACCGGUGGCGAAGGCGGGUCUCUGGGCCGGAACUGACGCUGAGGAGCGAAAGCGUGGGGAGCGAACAGG